rnacentral:rRNA from 1 species
UGGGGAAUAUUGGACAAUGGGCGAAAGCCUGAUCCAGCAAUACCACGUGAGUGAUGAAGGCCUUCGGGUUGUAAAACUCUUUUAGUAGGGAAGAUAAUGACGGUACCUACAGAAAAAGCACCGGCUAACUUCGUGCCAGCAGCCGCGGUAAUACGAAGGGUGCUAGCGUUGUUCGGAAUCAUUGGGCGUAAAGCGUGCGUAGGCGGUUUGAUAAGUCAACUGUGAAAUCCCAGAGCUUAACUUUGGAAUUGCGGUUGAAACUGUCAUAACUAGAGUGUGGUAGGGGAUAGUGGAAUUCCUAGUGUAGGGGUGAAAUCCGUAGAUAUUAGGAGGAACACCGGUGGCGAAAGCGACUAUCUGGGCCAUUACUGACGCUGAGGCACGAAAGCGUGGGGAGCAA